rnacentral:lncRNA from 1 species
ACCGAUCCCUGAACCUUGAUAAGGCUCAGUUUCGUCCAGAUUCAUAUUUAAAAACCAUCCUAAGUCUUCCAAACACUUUUAAAUAUUUAUAAAUCAUCAUCAAUAGUAUUUAAACUUACCGAGCAUUAUGCAUUCAUUGUUUCAGUCUUCGAGUCUUCGAUCUUCAUCGCUUCUUCUUCAAACAUUCAAGACUCCGACUAACUUCACGAAAUAUGCCAACAUAAAAUCUGUAACAGUAUCAAACUUGCACAUCAAAUGUAAUAACUGAGAUUGUAUUUGGAAGUCUAAUGUAAAAGAAAAACUGUGGUGUAAAAUGCAUGUAAUGAGAAUGCUUGUAAUAGCAGUUAGUUUUAUGUUAUUGAU